UCUUAGGAGCCAAGGACCGAGCUGAGGUCCAAGAGAACCGGUCCAUUCUCCUUCUCCGGAACCCACUCUAGGUCUUAGCUGGGGAGCCCAAGAGCCAGCCGCAGCCCUGUCCUCUCCGUGGGAACAGGAUUCCUGGAAACCAGCCCAGUGGGGCAGACCGGGGCAGAACUGGUGUGACCUCCAGCCCGGAUUUCAGAGAUAACGGAGAGCCCAGCUGCACUGGCACUGGGGAGGAGGACAGCACUGGAGACGGAAGAAGAAAGAAGAGCAGGCCAUGUGCUAUUGCAGACAGAGCUUGGAGCCACGAGGCCACAAGGAUUCUCCCCGGAGCCUCCAGAGGGAGCCCAGCUCUGCCGACACCUGAACUUGGGACUUCCUGCUGUAGAACUGUGAGAAAACUUGGAGCUUUCUGGGGACAGCCUCUGUGCCAGGACCCCAGGGUCUAGCAGGGAUCAAGACAGAGCCUGCACCUCAAAGCAACAAUGGAAACAAAAACAGGGGGCGGCAGGUGCCCCCCGGGAAGUCUUCUUAGGACCGCACCUCCUUUCUGGGCUUGACGUAAGUGAAUCAAGAUGCCCUUAAUGGCAAAACGCAAAGAUGUUGUCACCAAACCAGAGAGCCUGGAAAGAGAAUGUGGGUCCCCUGUGCUUCUGCUCAGGAGAGCUGGUGCAGCCAACCCCGGGGGACGAGGCUGUUGUGUGUCCCAGGAGCAGUUCCACCAGGGAGUCCUCAGCCCCGGGGACAUAUCGGGUGCAAAGGAACCUGCGUUUCCCAUCAAGCCAGCAACCCCAUGGUCACUUUGGCCUGAAGGACAGUCCCCAUUGUUCUCUUGGGUCCACAGGUUUCACAUUUCGAGACCUCCCUGUGAGUCCAGGGAGGGGUCAGGCACCCCGGGCUUGUCACCCCAGGAUCUGGGUCAGGGAAUGGGGCUCAGGUGGGGCAGGGUCACAUGUGGCUGGAGGUCUCCUCCGCCUCCUCGCAGCGCUGUCUUCAGAGGUCAGUGCCCUUGUCGGGACUCCCCACUGACUCGGGACCUUACUCGGGUCACCGUGGGCCCCAGGUGGCUUCUGCUCAUCCUUCCUGGCCACCCCUUUCCUUCCUCCCCCGGCUGGGCUCCCGGGGACCCAGGGUGUCUACUUGCUGGGUGCACAGCCGGGUAUCCAGGGGCCUGCACCCACUCUCCUCCCUGACUCCUCCAGCUCAGGAAUCACCCCGUCCAGGGAGCUGCUCCGACCCUCCGCCGAUGGAGUGACUUUCCUGAACUUGCACAGCCAGACCCCUGAGGCCACCCCCAGGGCAGGCGGAGGUGGAGGUGGACCACCCUUCACACAGAUGGAGGGCUGCCGGGUUGGGACACUGGGAGCAAGUGCAUGCAUACACAGCAGAGGCAGGGGCUCGCUGAAGGUUCUAGAAAGAAGAGGCAGAGACAUGGGCAAAGCUCGGAGGAUGGGCUGGUGGGGGUGAGAUUCCAGGGCUAGCCGUGGAGGGCAGCUGUUUCUACUGACAGAGGGCUGCACCCGUGGCCCUGCCCAGCUGGCCCAGCAGUAAGGGAGCAGGAGCAAACCAACCAGAAGCCACAGGUGGGGGGAGAAGGCUGGUGACACCAUCUAUGCAAAUCAGCACAGGGCACCAGGAAGGGGAACAAAUGAAGGAGUGACCUGGGGACCAGAGGAGAAAACCUAGCACAGAGGAGUAGAGUAGCACAGGUCACGGUAUCGGAGUCACUGCCUGGAGUGGCUUUAAGUUUUCUUAUUUUUUAAAAUGGUGGCAUCUUGCUAAGUUGCUCAAGCUGGCCUCCAACUCACCAUCCUCCUAUCUAAGCCUCCCAAGUAGCUGGGCUUACUGGUACAGGCCCCUCAUCUGGUGGUUUGCAUUUUCAAACUCAGGGGCAGGGGGUUUAGACACUUGCUUAGCAGGUAUGAGGCCCUGGGUUCCAUCCCAGCACCUAAAAAAACAAAGCAAAACAAUAAAAACAAAAUCCUGAGAUGCCCCGGCCCUCCCCCACCUCAGAUAGUCUGAUUUAGGUUUGUGGGAGAUGUGAGCUCUGGUCCCUUCCCAGUUUUGCUGUGUGACCUUGGGUCAGUCAAUUCCAUAUUCCAGGCCUGAGUUACAGGGGUAGGGAAUCAUCCAUCCCGAGUGGUCUGGGCUGGCCUCCAGGCUCUGCCACCCGCAUGGCUAGCUCACCUAAGCCCCAAAGGCAGCAGAGGAAGCUUGGUGACCAGCGGUGACCAUCCAUUGCCCAACCCCUGACAUCCCUCAGCUCUUUGCAGUUGGCAAGCGUGAUGAGAUCAAGUCCCCUGCCCGAGCCACUGACUGCCCUCCAGGUGAGCCUAUGAAUUGAUGUUCUCCUGACACUAAGGGAGGGCCUCUCUGGAGCCAGGUUUGGGGGAUGGGAUCAUGGUCCUUCGGGCUCAUUAUUCCCGAGUUGUCACUGUUGAUAAGCCACCACUGUGCCCCUAGAGGUUAGGGAACUUGCCCACAUUCACAUGGGCAGCCUCUUCCUUCUGGCAUCUCUGCCAACACUGGACACCUCCACCCCCAGGCCAACUAGCUCCCCACCCCGCAGCGGCUCUGUUGUCCUCGG